rnacentral:rRNA from 1 species
GAGUUUGAUCUUGGCUCAGGAUGAACGCUGGCGGCGUGCCUAAUACAUGCAAGUCGAGCGAACAGACGGGGAGCUUGCUCCCCUGACGUUAGCGGCGGACGGGUGAGUAACACGUGGGUAACCUACCUAUAAGACUGGGAAUAACUCCGGGAAACCGGGGCUAAUGCCGGAUAACAUGUUGGACCGCAUGGUCCUACAGUGAAAGACGGUCUUGCUGUCACUUAUAGGUGGACCCGCGCCGUAUUAGCUAGUUGGUAAGGUAACGGCUUACCAAGGCAACGGAUACGUAGCCGACCUGAGAGGGUGAUCGGCCACACUGGAACUGAGACACGGUCCAGACUCCUACGGGAGGCAGCAGUAGGGAAUCUUCCGCAAUGGGCGAAAGCCUGACGGAGCAACGCCGCGUGAGUGAUGAAGGCCUUC